UGCCGCGUGUGUGAAGAAGGCCUCUCGGGUUGUAAAGCACUUUUGUCCGGAAAGAAAUCCUUGGCUCUAAUACAGUCGGGGGAUGACGGUACCGGAAGAAUAAGCACCGGCUAACUACGUGCCAGCAGCCGCGGUAAUACGUAGGGUGCGAGCGUUAAUCGGAAUUACUGGGCGUAAAGCGUGCGCAGGCGGUUUGCUAAGACCGAUGUGAAAUCCCCGGGCUCAACCUGGGAACUGCAUUGGUGACUGGCAGGCUAGAGUAUGGCAGAGGGGGGUAGAAUUCCACGUGUAGCAGUGAAAUGCGUAGAGAUGUGGAGGAAUACCGAUGGCGAAGGCAGCCCCCUGGGCCAAUACUGACGCUCAUGCACGAAAGCGUGGGGAGCAAACAGGAUUAGAUACCCUGGUAGUCCACGCCCUAAACGAUGUCAACUAGUUGUUGGGGAUUCAUUUCCUUAGUAACGUAGCUAACGCGUGAAGUUGACCGCCUGGGGAGUACGGUCGCAAGAUUAAAACUCAAAGGAAUUGACGGGGACCCGCACAAGCGGUGGAUGAUGUGGAUUAAUUCGAUGCAACGCGAAAAACCUUACCUACCCUUGACAUGGUCGGAAUCCUGC
rnacentral:rRNA from 1 species